rnacentral:rRNA from 1 species
CGACCCUUCCGUCGGGUGCGUGCGCUGGAGGGGGGAGAGAGAGCAAAGGAGAGGGCUUAGGCGGCGGUGCUGACGGCGGUCUCCCUCUCCUUGACCGAGGCGAGAAGGUACGUUGUUGUGGUUGCGGUAGCAGAGGACCUCCUCACCCACCCUCCUCUUCCGCCGCCGUCAAAGCUAGACAGUAGACGGAGCUGCCCCCUCUUCCGCCUAGCUAGGCUAGCUUCACCGACGGCCUUCCUACCCUGCUUCUUCAGCAGCAACCGACCGGCUCCCAGUCCACUCCUGCUCCCCUUCGCCGAUGCUCGUGCGGUAGCCACAACCUAGCUACCACAGUACGGAGACGCCGGCCCUAAUCCGAUCCGUCUACUCUUCGUCGCCGCGCGGGGGUGAGGUGGCUCGAGGUAUAGUUACCGUUGUAGUCGCUCCACUCGUCGCCGAUUUCCGAGGGUGGACUUCUUUAGCUCCGCAACCGCCGCCUCAGCUACCCCUCUUCCGGGGCGGAACUACGUCAACCUCUGCGACGACCGCGAGUCGGAGUUUGUCGUUUCAGUGGAACAUUGCUUCCGUGGCGGGUCCUUGAAGAGUCCGCCGUCUAAAGCCGAACAGUUGUUCCAGCAGAGUGUGGGGAGAAGAAGAGGGGAACCAAGAUAAGCUAAACCUACGAGACACAUACUAAACAAAGAAACAGUUCGACGUAUAGAGAACACAUAUCAAAGUUGAUGUAACUUCAAUACGUAGGUAAAAGUAACGUAGUGAAUGGUGUUCUACAUAGGUUAUUUAGGAACAUAUAUAUCACUGCUCGCAUUUGUCACUACAAGCAUUCCUAAACCAGAUGCUUGCCCCUACAUAUGUUCGUCACGAAUAGAGCCCUUACACACUGUCACCACUUUGUGUCCUUUUAUGGAUCGUUUUGUUCAUUCUCCCGGUUGCCUAAAAAAAAUGUUCCCGGUGUACUAAUAAGUUCCAUAUGGCACCGGGCACCCAUUUUAGCGGGGACAUGGAAACACACUUCAAACAACUUUACUAAAACCUUGAUCUCGCGACUAUUAUGAAUGGAUAAUUCCGAGCGUCAUAUGGGGAGGUGUGACGAGACGGUUAAAAAGAAAACCUUUCUGAUAACAGUAUACCAGAAGGCCUCAUGGUAUAUUGUGUACUUUUAAUACUUCUCGAAACUUCUAAAUACCUCGUCAGAGACUGAGGUUAAUUUCUACAUGAGUACGUCAGUCCGUACUUUUAACCACUGUAGAUACGACAUCUCGAUUAUCCUCCUCGAUGGUCCCAACCUAAGGCCGCCUAGCCGUUAGCCGUCCGGCCGACCUAGCACACGGGCGGACAAGAAUUAAACUUUCUUAUUUAGUAACCACGAGAUCCAACGACCUCUUGGAACCUCCAACUAAGUACCCUUAGUAAUGGUCCGCGUUUGAGAGGACAUGGAUUAAAAGUAACUCAAAGAAAUACCACGGUCAUGAUCCUCGAGGAGCAGUGGACUCACCAACUAAGUAAACUUAGCAAUGGUUCGGCCACUCCUGCUCAACAACAGAGGAUCUCACCACCAGCUCUAAGCUCUCAGUUCCCGUCGCCACUUCCAAUCUCUCCUUUUAUUUCAUUCGUCGCUCGUCUACAUCGCACCCCACGUUCCCUUGAUCCGCCGAUAGUUCUUAAAGUCUACCACCACUCUACAAAGCCCAGCUGGUACACCUUAAAGAUACACAUGCGAGUACUCCCAGGGAGCGGCACGGCACCUGUGUCGCCGGAGCGGCCUGGUACCACGUCUGCUCGGUACUCGAUUGCAUCAACCACCGAGGGCAGUGUGUGUGGCCGACCAAGAUGAGGCCGUUCGGUGGCGGCGGCGACGUGUAGAGCUAGAGAGGGGCACAGAGGAAGUCCGUUCCCACGACCUGCGCCGCCUGCCCUCUAUUUCGCCACCUCGACAGUCAGGCAGUUGCGAGAAAGAUUUCACCACAGCCAUUUUUAUCGAUUGAACAUCCAACAAUCAUGACACGAUGUUAAGGCGAAUGAAUAUACCUUUCUCUGUUCUAAGUAAAGGUAACGGAUACUACCUAAAGCUAAACGAAAAGUGUACUUCGUAGUUGUAUUUAGCAACUGGUUUCUCGUAGUAACGGUACACGUACACGAUUGUUCUUGACUUGUUUCGUUGAACUUAACCGCUUCCGUAUGGACCGUGGCGUCUUAGUGGUGAGUCCGCCGCGUGGUGACCACGCGGGGUUGGUG